GACGAACGCUGGCGGCGUGCUUAACACAUGCAAGUCGAACGAGAAGAGAUGAGAAGCUUGCUUCUUAUCAAUUCGAGUGGCAAAACGGGUGAGUAACGCGUAAGCAACCUGCCCUUCAGAUGGGGACAACAGCUGGAAACGGCUGCUAAUACCGAAUACGUUCUUUUGUCGCAUGGCAGAGGGAAGAAAAGGGAGGCUCUUCGGAGCUUUCGCUGAAGGAGGGGCUUGCGUCUGAUUAGCUAGUUGGAGGGGUAACAGCCACCAAGGCGACGAUCAGUAGCCGGUCUGAGAGGAAUGAACGGCCACAUUGGGACUGAGACACGGCCCAAACUCCUACGGGAGCAGCAGUGGGGAAUAUUGC
rnacentral:rRNA from 1 species